rnacentral:rRNA from 1 species
GAAGCACCGGCUAACUCCGUGCCAGCAGCCGCGGUAAUACGGAGGGUGCAAGCGUUAAUCGGAAUUACUGGGCGUAAAGCGCACGCAGGCGGUUGAUUGAGUCAGAUGUGAAAUCCCCGGGCUUAACCCGGGAAUUGCAUCUGAUACUGGUCAGCUAGAGUCUUGUAGAGGGGGGUAGAAUUCCAUGUGUAGCGGUGAAAUGCGUAGAGAUGUGGAGGAAUACCGGUGGCGAAGGCGGCCCCCUGGACAAAGACUGACGCUCAGGUGCGAAAGCGUGGGGAGCAAACAGG